rnacentral:rRNA from 1 species
UGGGGAAUAUUGCACAAUGGGCGCAAGCCUGAUGCAGCAACGCCGCGUGAACGAUGAAGGUCUUCGGAUCGUAAAGUUCUGUUGCAGGGGAAGAUAAUGACGGUACCCUGUGAGGAAGCCCCGGCUAACUACGUGCCAGCAGCCGCGGUAAUACGUAGGGGGCUAGCGUUAUCCGGAUUUACUGGGCGUAAAGGGUGCGUAGGUGGUCCUUCAAGUCGGUGGUUAAAGGCUACGGCUCAACCGUAGUAAGCCGCCGAAACUGGAGGACUUGAGUGCAGGAGAGGAAAGUGGAAUUCCCAGUGUAGCGGUGAAAUGCGUAGAUAUUGGGAGGAACACCAGUAGCGAAGGCGGCUUGCUGGACUGCAACUGACACUGAGGCACGAAAGCGUGGGUAGCAAACAGG